rnacentral:rRNA from 1 species
UACGUAGGUGGCAAGCGUUGUCCGGAAUUACUGGGCGUAAAGCGUGCGCAGGCGGUUGGGCAAGUCUGAUGUGAAAUCCCCGGGCUUAACCUGGGAAUGGCGAUGGAGACUGCAAGGCUGGAGUUUGGCAGAGGGGGGUAGAAUUCCACGUGUAGCAGUGAAAUGCGUAGAGAUGUGGAGGAACACCGAUGGCGAAGGCAGCCCCCUGGGUCAAGACUGACGCUCAUGCACGAAAGCGUGGGGAGCAAACAGG